rnacentral:lncRNA from 1 species
CAAUGGUGGAAGAUCACUAGACUUAAUAUUUGAUUGAGGAGAUAUAGGUUCUGGUCUCAUCUUUAAUUAGUCAUAACGGUUAUGACUGACCUAUUGGUAUGGGCUAGCUUGAGUCAACAAGUAACCUAAUUCAAAAUAUAAUCUCUCAAAAUGAUCAGGUAAGUUAAGAUGUAUGGGGUCCCCUCAUUACUUUCCUUAGAUACCAACAAAUUAGCUA